UCUCCCUCUCCCUCGUCUGCGGCUGCCGCCGCCACCAGCGUCCUCCCCCCCCCCACCCCUUCUCUCAUUCCCUCACCUGCGCCCUCGUCCACCUGGGCCUCGUGGUCGGCCAUGGAGGUCUGAUCCGACCCAUGGAUGGACGGGGGCGAAACCCUAGCCCCACACCGACCCAUGGAUGGAUGGGGAUGGGGCGACGGUGGCGGCGGCCUUCUCUUGGUGCUUACUGAUGUGGUGGUCCUCGAUGCCGGCGACGGGUUGCAGCACGUAGACGCCAAAAUUUGUGCAGGCUGCGGGUGUGGCGGAGGAGCACCAUGGCGGGCGUGCAGGCCAUCUUUCCCUACCAAAUGAUCCCAAUCCCUUUCUUUCUGCUCGACAGCUCUGAAGAAUUGACAUUUGUCAAGAACCUGCAACAGAACCAAAAGAAUGGUAUACGUAUAUAACUACUUUGGUGAUUCCUUUUAAGAUGGCAAUGAGACAUGAGAGAAAGAUAACUUGUCAUUUAAGAUGCCCCUAAUUCAAUUUUAUAUCGUGCUGAACUUUCUCAAACUAUUAUGUAUAUCAUCUUAGUAAUUGAGUGGUAUUAUCUGCUGGUUGCAAAAUGAGAAAAGCAACACAUGCAUGAAGAAUAGUAGUGAAUAUUACACAUCUUACCUCUCAUAUUUGUUGAUCUGACCCUUGGCACCACCCAACGAAGGAUGAAGGAAGAGGCCAGCUGCAGCAAAACCAUGCUCCACAUUCCCUUGCAAAGGAAAAAAUUCAGAAUUGAAGGUGUCCAUGCCGGACUGUAUGCAGUGUGCGCCUGCGACACAGAGUUAGUUUUGCUGAGAACUGAACAUGGGUCAAAUUACAAUUAGUAUUAGGUUAAUCAAGUUGUUUCAAUUGGUAUUAGCAGUCAUGACUCGCUUUUGUCCACUUGGCUGAACACUCCUUGCUUGAAUUACACACGUUUCCGAGCUUUUGAGGUUCAAUUGCCAUGUGGCCAUGAAUAUGACCCAGAAAUUGGAUAUGUGACCGAGAAAUAGAACCACUGUACUUUCUCCAGGCAUUCUCUCGUCAACCAGGAAAUCGCUUUUCUGUACAAGUAAAAUACUUUUCAAACUGCGCCAAAAUUUAACCAUUAUCUUUUUCUUGGCCAUCUGUGAUGCAUGCUUGAUCCGGUUAAAAAGAAGAUGACAACAAGUGCUUGAUGUAGUCUCAUCAGUAUAACAUCUGCCACAAUUAAUGUCUUGAUAUUUCCAACACUGACAAAGACGAAGUACUAUAGACACAUAGUGAUCUACUCCAACGACUUGGCAAUCCUUUCUAUUUCAAGUUCUGGCUCAUGUAUCUGUGUAAUUGGCUGCAGGUUAUCACUGCUACCCCACCGAAGUCCCUGGCAAGUACGUGUUGCUACCAAGGAAAAUAUGCUUUCUCAUCAAUUUUGCAGCAUGCAUUAGAAAGUUCAAAUUUAUGUCCUCGAAUAAAUUUCUUCAUGAAGGUGCAUCAGGAUGACCAUCCACCAUUGUUUCUUCGAAAGCACGCGGCAGAGGCACCCACACCCGCGGUUCAGCAAGAUCUACAUCUCCAACAACUACACCAAGGACUGGGGCAUAUACGCCAUAUGCGCCUGCGUUGAAGCUCAGUGUAACAUAUAUGAAGGAGGACAGAAGACGACUGUUUUCAAUUACAUGCCGGAGAAGGCUGCUGACAGAGAAGAGACGACAGCAGGAGCAGAGCCUCUCUCCUGCAAGGCCUUAGGCAUCUUCUUACAAUGCCCAUACAUAUUGCAUAUUCAUAUUAUUAUUUUCUGACAAACUUGCCUUUUCAUGGCUGGCUCAAGGUCAUUUCGGAAGAAAAAUCCUACUAAAAUGUUUGUAUAGUUGGCAGUCCGGUGAUUCCAGCUUAUUUGUCUAAUUUGAUGUAGGAAAUGGAUUUUUUUGAGUUUGAGUUCUCAGUAAUACUUGUUGCCUCCUGUUGUGAUUCUAGGUUGAACUUGCCAAGAUGCUACUAAAUAAGGGCAGGGGCACUUGUUUGAAUACUGGUCAGAACCCGGUGUUGAUGACGACAAGAAGAAAAGCUUCUUUGACAAGGUUUGCCGACUUAAUUCAAGCUAUCCUGCUGGACUGACAUCAUACAUCCAGAAUGCCAAAAGGCUUUUUGCAGAUUCCAAGUCUGGACAAAAUCCAUACGAUGGUUUCACGCCUUCGGUUCCCUCGGGGGAAGUAUUGUCCUUCGGUGAUGACAAUUUUGUUUAAGCACACAAUGUUGCAUUUGUUCUUGUAGCUGGUGGGCUUGGCGAAAGACUUGGUUACAAAGGAAUUAAGGUUAUCAUUGGGAAGUCUAAAAGUUGCACAGGAAGAUCUCGGCAAAUACUUUAAGCCCCAAAGUAACAAAGGUGAGGACCUAAACUGGUGGUACUGGCCUACCUUUCCUUCAGGGAAUGCCCAGCGGACCUGAAAGAUGGUAUCGGCAGUUUGAUAAUUGCAGCCCCAAUGGUGCUCUGAGCUCUUUGAACUCAGUCAAUGUGGGACCCUUUUGACAGGAAGUAUGGGAAAUAUUUCGUUGUUGCUGCAGUUGACCUAUGCUAAAAUGCCGGUGUUAAUAACCAUGUAAGUGUGUAUUUCAUUUCUUUUUCUGCAAAGUCAUUCGUUGUCACUACUGCAUGUAUUUUAUGCUCACUACUGAAAUCGAUGAUGUCCUUCUGAAGCUAAUUGAGAAGUUGUCGGUCAAUAUGUCGCCUAAGCAAUUUAAGUUGGAAGUUCUUAAGGAUAUAGAAAAGGAGGAUCAGGGAAACUAUGUUAAAGGGUCAAGUUAGGAUAUUUACUAAUUAGCUUGAAAACUCUCAUGGGUCAAGGGAACAAUUAACAUAGUUUCGUGCUAACUCGAUCGACAGAUCCUCGGUUCGAACCCCCGAAAGCACACCAUUUUUUCGCUCGCUUCAGAUUGAACGGGAAAAAAAGAAAGACGGGCCGGCCCAGCACCGCGCGGGGAUGUGCGCCUGUUUGUUAGAAUUGAAGAAACGGGCGCAGCGGGCGCCGGCUUUUAGAUGCGGCUUUUUGGGUUUUUGAUUUUUGUCUGGUUUUUCCUAGGUCUACAAGAAACUAUUUAUUUUUUGAAGCACAAUGCCUUUGAAAAAACAAAUAUGUACUUUCAUAAGAAUCACAAUUGUAUUUCUCGUGAUAGCAUAGAUUUGCUUCCGCGAGAAGCACAACCCAUGCCUCCGCCAGAAGCACAACCUGUGCGUGGAAGAAAAGCACAAGUGUGCCUCCACUAGAAGCAAAUAUGUGCUUGUACGAUAAACACAGAUAUGUUCGAUGAGAAAAAAAACACAACCAUGAGCUUCUACGAGAAGCACAGUCUUACCACCUCGAAAAAUGAAUAAGACACAAUUUGUGCGUAAAAAACGGUGAAACCACAACCGUGCUUUUGUUUUUUUUUCUUCUGCCUUUUCUUUCAGUAUUCAAUGUUUUCCGGUUGUCGAUUUUUUUGGGAUUUUUUGUUUUCUUUUUUUUUAACUAAUCUAUAGUAGAACAAAAUUGAAUUUCAUCAUCCUAGACAGAACCAAAAUUAACAAGAUACUGUUGUUUAAAAUUUAUUAAAAGAUCUGUUGUUAGGAACCAUCCUUCGGAAUCAGAAUAUUUAGACUAAUAACACCAAGAUGUAGAGAGCAACUUAGCAAAAUUAUUGUUAGCAAAGAAUAAUUUUGUACAAUGGAAAUUCGUGAGGGUCUGGAUCCUCUUUUAUCGGGUGACCAUUAGAAAAGGUAGAUCCUCUUUUAGUUGACAACUAUUAACAAAAGUAUUGUUAGGCCACGAACAUGAGCAAAUUGUUUAAACAAUUAAGCUGAUUUAAUAAUUGUAUAACUCAGUCCGAACGCAUGCCCCACCUGCAAAAGAAAGAUACAGUUGCUGCAGCUAACUGUUGCAACUGCGUCUAUAAAAAUCAGAGGAAGCUUAUUUAAUCAGCCAAUUGACAGGUUCAAAUUAUUGUUAGUGCUAGCCUGCUAGGACCAAUUGCACGUGUCAAUUCAUGCCAAUAGCUGUAAAUCAAAAGAAAGAAAAAAAAAUAGACUCACCAGCUGCAAAUACUCCAGGAAUAAAGGUGCAAGCAUGGCACUGGGCAUGAUUUAUUUUGUACAACGAUUGGGUGAGAGGGUUUAAUUUUCAUAUUUUUUUCAGACAAACAGAUGGAGAUUACAUGGUGAUGUACGUAUAUGACAAACCCUUAUUUUCUGUAAAGUGGUAGUGCAGAUGACCAAUGUGGUGUGAAUUCCACUUCUGCAGAUAUCUUGUUGAUGGCACUAUUUUCUGUCACUAUAAAUACAUCGUUGUAUACUAUUGUUACACAUGAUUUCAUAGUUUGCCAAGUAUCACAGAAUUUGUGGUUGAGUACUUAUAUCCAAAAGCAUCGUGUUAGUACUGAAGUUAAUUUA